UACAGAGGGUGCAAGCGUUAAUCGGAAUUACUGGGCGUAAAGGGUGCGUAGGUGGUUAUAAAAGUUGAUUGUGAAAUCCCUGGGCUUAACCUAGGAAUGGCGGUCAAUACUGUAUAGCUAGAGUACUGUAGAGGAAGGUGGAAUUUCCAGUGUAGCGGUGAAAUGCGUAGAUAUUGGAAGGAACAUCAGUGGCGAAGGCGGCCCUGUG
rnacentral:rRNA from 1 species